UUGCUACUUCCACCUGAAAGGUACAUGGAUGUGCUUUGGUUGGGAAUGAGGCCAAGGCAGACAUCCAGGCCUACACAACUCAGUGGGAUAGGUGCACAGGGGCACGCCUCCACUUGUCAUAUAACCUGUUCGGGUAAGCUCAUACUUGGCUCAAUGCCACUAUUGUUUGGAAAGGUAUAACUGCCCCGCUGAUGCUGUACAGGUGCUCUUGUGCAGAUGCUUGUGCCCAGAAAGAGAGAGAGAAGAGAGAGCCAAAGCUACCCAUCUUGCCAGUGGACAAGAGGAAGCCAGGACACAGCUCUGCUCGCUCGUGCCCAGAGUGAGAAAGAGGAAGACACUACUGUCGGGGACCGUAUCCUUUACAGUAUGUGUUCCACCUACUGCUUCUGUGGAUUCUCUCCAAAACCAGUUCACAGCCACUUGAAAGGUAAUUUAAUAAAGCCCAUCUUGCCAAUAAUGUUCAGAUUUUCUUCAACACAAUUUAAUAAUCAUCCAG
rnacentral:lncRNA from 1 species